rnacentral:lncRNA from 1 species
GCCUUCAACACAAAGCAAACGCUCGGUUCAGACGGUAGGGUGAAGAGUCAUUUAAGAAGCUGGCUCCAUUUGCACUAUCUGUUUGACAAAUUACAUUUUUACUUACUGCAAGCGAUUUGGAGGGCUAACCUAACCAAAAGAAUAGCUCUGGGCCGGAUCAAAUCUGAAAUGGCACAAAGAGAAGGGGGCGGGGCCGGUCGCUAACCCCAAACUACAGAUUCCAAGGCUCGCAAGAGAUAAACAAAGGAAGCCGAGCGGAGCUUACAAGUGCGUCAGUCUACUUGAGCAUUCGUGUGGAAACCCACAGCUCGUAACGUGCCGGCGUCCAAACACCGAGUUUUCCUCAAGAGCUCCUUUAUGGGUAGACACCCAGCAGGUUGGUGGAGACUGACAGGGAACACAAGGCUCGCCCGUCAUUCUUCCGCUAAACCCGAACCCCCGCGGCUCGUCGCGCAGUCCCCGGAGGCACACCGCGAGGAAGGCCGCGGGGCGCCGAGAAGGCGCGGGCCGGUCCUCACCUGGCAGCCCUUCUUGUGGUGAAAGCCGACCACCACGAUGUGCAGGACAGGCCCGCAGGGGGCGCCGUCACUCUCACGCCCAGACUUCUCCAUGGACGCUCGCCGGAGGCCCCCGCCGCGACUCCAAACGCCGAGGCCCGGCCGCACGACCCAGAGCGGCAGCCUUCGGAUGUCAGCCUGAGCGCCGCAUACGCGCUGCGCCACGAGCUCCGGGGCCGCCGACCAGCUCCCUCACCUCCGCGGAGCCCCACCGGGCCUCCACCUCUCUGCUUCAUCCGCUUCCGCAGCUUCCGGGCUGUCACCUGACGCUACAGCCGCCUCCGGCAGCGCGGGGCGGUACCCUGAGGCCCCUGUCCCGGCUGGGUCUGAGGCGGCAUGGGCGGAGCCUGAUCAGGGGGCGGGUCUAAAGGAAAAGGAGGCGGAGAGGGGAGGGGCUGUAUAACAGGAGAGGCGGGGCCUGCUCGAGAGCUGGCCUGAAGGAAGAGGACCCCCAGCUGAAGGCGCGGCCUACACGACCGGUGGGGCGGGGCGGAGCUGGACGGGGCGGGGCAGGGCAAGGUAGGGCAGACAGACACAGACCCUGUGCAGUGGUGAAGUGGUGUGCACAGGGGGUUGAUUUGGCUGACUCUUAAACCUGCUCCUUUCUCCCUACGAUCUUUGUCAAAUCACUUCCUUCUAAAAUCUAUUUUUCCUUCAUGAAAUAUCGUUACUCCUC